AUGCUCUGGUUUCUCUUCAUUAUUCGAGCUAAUCUUUCGCCUUUUACUAAAGAUUACCGUGGAGAGGAACAUUACAAUGAGCCUAAACUGAAUUUUUGGAAUCCCACCACAUAGGUGGGUA
rnacentral:snRNA from 1 species